UCCUCUUACUGAUUUCCUCUGGAUUUCUAAAAUUAAAUUCUUCAUUCGCUUCAUCAAAUAGAAUUCAUCAAUUCACUGGGCAUUAAAAACCUCAGUAUCAACAUUCAAGUUUCGGGUCCUGCAGUGGAUGCGCCUUUUCCCAUUGCGACGAUAUUUCUUUUACGUCACGUGUACGUCG